rnacentral:rRNA from 1 species
GAUGAACGCUGGCGGCGUGCCUAAUACAUGCAAGUCGAGCGAACAGACGAGGAGCUUGCUCCUCUGACGUUAGCGGCGGACGGGUGAGUAGCACGUGGAUAACCUACCUAUAAGACUGGGAUAACUUCGGGAAACCGGAGCUAAUACCGGAUAAUAUAUUGAACCGCAUGGUUCAAUAGUGAAAGACGGUUUUGCUGUCACUUAUAGAUGGAUCCGCGCCGCAUUAGCUAGUUGGUAAGGUAACGGCUUACCAGGGCGACGAUGCGUAGCCGACCUGAGAGGGUGAACGGCCACACUGGAACUGAGACACGGUCCAGACUCCUACGGGAGGCAGCAGUAGGGAAUCUUCCGCAAUGGGCGAAAGCCUGACGGAGCAACGCCGCGUGAGUGAUGAAGGUCUUCGGAUCGUAAAACUCUGUUAUUAGGGAAGAACAAAUGUGUAAGUAACUAUGCACGUCUUGACGGUACCUAAUCAGAAAGCCACGGCUAACUACGUG